rnacentral:lncRNA from 1 species
GGAAAGAUAUCACAACACAACUCUAGACACAAAAUGAAAUAAUACAAGCUUCAUAUUACAAGCCAGGGGCCUCGAGGGCUCGAAUACAAGCUUGAUACACAAGAGUCAGCGGAAGCAACAAUAUCUGAGUACAGACAUAAGUUAAACAAGUUUUGCCUUAAGAAGGCUAGCACAAACAUCAACGAUCGAAGAGGGGAGGCCUCCUGCCUGGGACCUCCUAACUACUCCUGGUCGUCGUCGGGCUCCACAUAGUAGUAGGCACCCUCAGGGUAGUAGUAGUAGUCGGUGGGGGAGGCAUCUGGCUCCUGGGAUCCAUCAUCUGGUUGCAACAACUAGAAAGAAGAAAGAAGGGGGGAAAGGGGGGGAGCAAAGCAACCGUGAGUACUCAUCCAAAGUACUCACAAGCAUCAAAUCUAUACUAAGUAUGCAUUGGUAUCAAAUGGAAGGUUUGUAUCUGUGGACUGAACUGCAAAAUGCCAGAAUAGAGGGGAAGGCCUAGCCUAUCGAAGACUAGCAUCUUCAAGCAGCUCCAAGCAUCUUGCAGCAUGUAGAAGAGUAGAGAAUAGCAGUUUAUAAUUAACAAACAUGUUGUAACAUUAAUGCCGAGAGAUCCUUCCUCGACUCCCUGCGAGAAAGCAAUCCCAGAGCCACAUAUCUCAAGUAUCCAUUUAUAGUUGUAUAAGAUCAGGAUAUAAGUCUGAACGUCCGUUACCAUGGACACGCCUAUUAAUAGAUAAUCUUCCCUGCAGGGGUGCACCAUGUUUUCCAACAUGCUUGAUUACUCUGGCCGGAUACACUUUUCUGGAUCAAUGCCCAGCCUUGGAAGAUCAACACGUCGUAGCCCUACCUAGGCUCAGUAGAGAGGUCCCCGCCGGUCUACAUCCUAAGCACUCUGGAGUCUGGGCCCAUCGCCCGGUGCACUCCGGGUCGUUACGUGCAGGGCGAUAUAGGCCACCUCCACUGGGGCGCCGACCGGGUCGUGCCGCAAUGCUGAACUGGACGUUUGACAAAGCUUCGGCUGAUACUGCGACGUCGAGGCCCAUAACUAUUCUCACAUGGUGGUUGGUGUGUAAAGGCCAAAGGCCAACUCAGAACAAAUACCCAAAACAUAGUGUAUUAUUAGCUUGUGGAGAAGCAGAGACUCGGGAUCGAAAGUGACCACGUCGCCCCGUCUCGUGACUUAUGACAAGGGCCUAGAAUGCCCGACCGUGCCACGUAAUUAUCUUGCGGGUGCUCUCUGGGCCCGCCCGACUUUCACCAAGGUCUCAAGUAAAGUCAAAGUAACCGUGUGUCCAAACAUCAAGGGGAAAACCCAAGGAAUCACCCUCGGAGGAUUCCACUCGAUGUAAUCAUCAAGGUGAACGUAAGAGGAACCACCCUCGAGGUUCACACUUGAGGUGUUGCACAACAGAGCCAUAUCAGGAAUGGUGAAGGAGGAACCACCCUCGUUGACCACGACCGAAUAGCUACACUACAGAGAUCUCAUCAGGAGUGAUGUAUGAGGUUCCACCCUUGACACUCGAUGGUAACUCUGCAGAGUCGAGCAACAAAAAGGGGCGUGAUGUGAUGUGAGGUGUCGGGCUCUGGUCAUCGAUCACGUUGAUCGAGUCAUCGAUGAUGAAGCAGGGGCGACAAGGACAAGGUGGGGGUCACUGAUGGAUCACUAGCCAACCUAUACUAAGCAGUUUAGGAUAAGCAGGUAAGGUACAACAUCAGGUACAAAAGUAGGCUAUGCAUCAGAAUAGGAGCAAUCAAAUACAGUAGCAAAAUCUAAUGCAAGCAUGAGAGAACGAAAUGGGCGAUAUCGGGAUGAUCAAAGGGGGGGCUUGCCUGGUUGCUCAGACAAGAAGGAGGGUCGUCGUCGACGUAGUCAAUCACAGGGACAACAUCGGUCUCGGGGUCUACCGGAGAGAAGAGGGGGAAGAAACAAUAGAUAUAAAGCAAACAUAGCAUCACAAAGCAUAACAUGGCAAUAUGAUGUGCUGGGUGUGACCUAACGUAUGGCUACGCGAUAGAGGUGAAGGGGAAAUUCAACCGGGAAUGUUUUCCCGGUUCCGGACCUGUGUCAGACAGAUAACCGGAGGGGGAAGGUUCCAUGUUCAGCUAGUUAGAGGCAUCUAACAGGUAAACAGACCGCGUAUUCGGAUUCGUCACGUUUUUCUGAGUAACUUUCAUGUAGAAACAUUCUCAUCCGAGCUACGGUUUAUUUUCUAUGAAUUUCUAAAAUUUUAAAAGUUUCUGAAAUUAUUUAAAUUAACAGAAAUAACAGAAAAGGAAAUAUGACGUCAGCAAGUCAACAGACUCGCUGAUUAGUCAAAGUUGACAAGUGGGUCCCACUGGUCAGUGACUGGACUAAUUAACAUUGGUUAACUUAACUAACCUAAGUUAAUUAGCUAGUAGGCCCCACCUGUCAGUGGCUAAUUAGUUUAACUAAAUAAGUUUUAAUUAUUAAAAGGUUGAUUAAAGGAAAGGGGCCCGCUUGUCAAUGGCUCUCGGCUGCCCAGUCAGCAAGUUGACUGGGUCAACCCGUUCAACGGGGCCCCCAGGGCCCACUGGUCAGCGACACUGGGGGUGGCCUCGGAUCAGCCAGGUCAGCACCGGCGUCAAAGUUACGCCAGCGAGGCCAUUCGCGGCGGCCGAGCGCCAGAGAGGGCUCCGGCGAGCCUUUUCACAGCGGCUCCUCGCCGGAGUUUGCCGGAACGGCGCCACGGUGGUCCGUUCGUUGCGCGCGAGGUAGCGUUCGAAGGCCGACGACGUCGCACGUCCAAGGUGGCAGUUGCAGGGGUAGGGGGAUGGUCGGUCGAGGCGCCGACGAAGUGUGGAGGCGGUGGUGGCAUUUGGGACCUCGUCGGGAUCGCGCUACGAGGCACGGGAAGGGGUGCGGCAAGGUCCGUUCGAACGAUCGUUAGAUGCUACGGCGUUUGGUGGCGGUGGGAGCGACUGAGGUGGCCGGAGUCGACCGUUGCAGCGAUGGUAGGCGCCGGUGGCGAUCGUGCUUCGACGGGGACAUCACUGCAGCACGCAAACAUGCAUACGAAAAGGGCUUGGGCGGUCUAUGAGACGCGGUGAUCACAUCAGUGGCGUGCAUGGUACCAAAAGGUCACCGUGGCCAUGUCUGAGACGAGCGCGGGAGACAGCGAGCUCGGUUGCAAGGGGGACAACAACUACGCAUGCAGAGAGGGGCAGAGAAGAGGGGAAGACGGCGUGGACCUCACCGUGCGGCUAAGAGAAGCCCUCAACGGCUUUGUAGCGCAGGGGAGGCGACAAACGGAGCGGUGGAGCUCCGGUGAUCCGAGGCGGACGCCGGUUCGAUCCGGGGCCUGCGGUCUCCCCCCGCAGCUACGGCUAGCCCCAGGCGAUGAGGACGAACGCGGCGGAGCUCGUGGACAUGCCAGCUUGGCGUGGGCGGCCGGUGGCCGCGGGAUCGAUGGCGGACAACGACAGCAGCGUUCGGGAGAUGAGGGGGAAAGCAAGCGAGCGAGAGGGGGGAGAGGAAAAUAUCUGCUCAGAGGGGGGUGUGGG